UAUGAACAAUGUGCUGAUGUCCGUAUCAGGCAAGUCGGCCCAGCUUUACUCGCACAGCCUGCCAGCUCUGUUUGAACAGAAAGGACAUCUGCACAAGAAACACAGCAGCCUGUCGCUCAGCACCAACCGCCUCACUGAGCGGAUCAGUCUCAGAAAGUUUACCAUAUCUGUAAAGAUUCCUGACACUAAAGGUUGUAGGAGGUGCAGUGUAG